rnacentral:lncRNA from 1 species
CAGAUAUUCAGUUGGUUUUGUCAAAAACUCUUCCAUUUUUUAAUUUCCAUCUAUCAAACGUUUCAAGCCUGCAGUGUUCACAAUCAAUACACAGCAGCAAAGGAACUAUGUGUAGGAGGAAACUCUUAAGGGACUCUCUUGAGGGCCUGUGACUCUUGUUAGGAGAUCAUACGGAAUUUAAGUGUUCUCAAAUCGACGGAAUUUAGCAGGUUUGAUGGAGGAUCGGUCAGUGAACAGGAGGAGGGCGAGGGAAGCAAUGCCAUUCUCCCAAACCCAUGAAGAUGCUCUGUGAGAAGGAGAAAGGCGAGGAAACAAUGUCCUGCCACCAAAGUCCUUAGAGAUGUUCGAUGAGAAGGAACAAGGUGAGGACGUUAUGCUUGCUGCCCCCAAGUCCUUGGAGAUGCUCUGUGAGUAGGAGGAAGGCGAGGGAAGCUAUGCAUGUCGUCCAAAUCCUUAGAGAUGCUCUGUGAAAAGCAGAAAAGCGAUCGAGGAAGCAUUGCCUGCCGCCCAAGUCCUUAGGGAUGCUCUGUGAAAAGCAGAAAAGCGAGGAAGCAUUGCCUGCCGCCCAAGUCCUUAGAGAUGCUCAAUGACAAGGAGGAAGGAGAGGAAAGCAACGUGUGUCAUCCAAGUCCUUGGAAAUGCUGUUGCUUCCAUGGCUCUUCGGACGGAGAACACCAGCCCCGAAAUCAUAAGUACUGAUCUCAGUGUGUCGGCAGUAAGUGGUAUAGGCCUUUAGAUCUAUGCAUUUCAUCCAUUCGAGCAACCCUCGAAGCUAUAGUAGUGAAUCCCUCGAGGCCAUGAGAAACUGAUGGGAGCAAGCGAUAUUCGAUGAUGACGACGACUUCGACGACCACGACUCCAGAUCAUGUAAGUACUUUGGUCAGCGAUGUAGGCCUACUGCGGUGAAUCGAGCAGGCCGUGGAACGCCAUGGGGAUUAUGGACUUGUGUAUUAUGGAAUUCUCACUGGGACGCGAUCAUGGCCCGGUCUUACAAAGAGAUACGACUAUCCAAUCAAUCGUAAUUCUAUGGAAAGCCAUCAGUGUCAUAUUUUC